UUUGCCCUGUUCGCUUCUUUUCAGAGAAACCGAAGCCGCUUCAUCGAAGGGAAGUACGAGAGAGAGAGGCUUUAGAGAUCAUAGUCGUCUUCUCUAAUUCUCAGACAUGGGUACUUUCAAGCCAUCUUUCAUCCUCUGUCCAACGUUCGUCUGAGAGAUUUUUGAUCUGCAAGUUCUUCCAUCGUUUCUCUUCAGGCUGGACCAGCAGAUAUUUUCACCCACAUAUUGGUCUUCACCUCUAUAUUCUACACAGUCAAACAGGUCUGCCCCUAUAUAUGUGUUUAACCGAAAAAGGAUUGUAAUGUAUGAGUGGCAUGUGUUGAAUCUGUUUUGCUAAGUGUGGCAUCUGUUGAAUCUGUUUUGGUAUUUAUGCAUCUCUUGGAUCUGUUGAAUCUGGUGUGGCAUCUGUAGAACUGUUUUCGUAUUUUUGGCAUCUCUUGAAUCUGUUUUUGAUGUUAGAGGUUUCAUUUAUUGUCUGAGUGGCAGAUUCUUGCUUUAUGCCCCAUCCAUUGCUUCAGGCUCAUAUUAGAGGUUUCAUUUCUUCUGUUGGCCUAAUUUUGUACUUACUUAUAGUGCUUCUGUAUUCAGAAAUAUUUACCGGAUUCUAUGUAGUUUUAGAGUAUUUUAGUUCCAUGGUCAAUAAUUUUCUACAAUAAGUUCUGAAAUAUAUUAGCUGUAAUGAUUGUGCAGACACUCAAAUAAACAAGAAUUGAACAUUCUGUUUUACAUUGGAUCAUGGCCCAUUGCUGUUUUUCAUUGUGAAACAAGCAUAUUCAUAUCAUAAUUAUAUCCUUUAAAUCUGUUUUUUAGUUUAGAGUAAUACAUAGAUACGUAUUCAUUUAUAAUCUGUUUUUUUAUGUUAGUCACACGUAGGAUUGAAUUUCAAUUAUAUUGCUCCAAUUAUAUCCAUUGAAUCUGUUCCUGAAUUCCAGUGAACACAUAGGCUUCACAUUGGUGAUUAUAGAAGUUCGUUCACAAAGUCAUACUAUUAACACACCUCUCUCACCACUCCAAGUCCGAGUCCACACCCAUGUCUACUAAUGCACCACCAAUGAUUAGAAUUACAAUGAAAAUUUCCUUUCAUUCUUUUUUCAGCUGUUGAAAGGUUUGCUCAUGAGGACAAGGGUGAUUUUGCAACUUCACUAAAGCAUUUUAGGUAAGAACCAUAUCCUCGAAUUGCUCUUUUGGACCGAAAUUAAACCUUUUGUGUGAUGGUUUAUCAUAUGAUUGAGUUCUAUGUUUGAACUUAUAAAUUCGUUCAUGGUGGAUUUGAAUUGCCACUCAGUGUUGCUUGAGUGAAGUUGAUAAUUGUGUGCAUUGUAAGAUUCACAAUUCUUAUUAGAUGUUUUAAAUGUAAUGAACAAAAACUAUAACAUGUAGCCUGUUAUUUCUGUCUUUAUUAUACUUCUAUGACC